GAGGGCAUAGCUCAAGUGGUAGAGUGCAUGGUUAGCAUGCAUGAGGUCCUGGGUUCAAUCCCUAGUACCUCCC
rnacentral:tRNA from 1 species